rfam:Camelus ferus unplaced genomic scaffold scaffold1262, whole genome shotgun sequence.
GAGGGUAUAGCUCAGUGGUAGAGUGCUGCUUAGCAUGCAUGAGGUCCUGGGUUCAAUCCCCAGGACCUCCA